CGAAGAACCUUACCAAGGCUUGACAUAUACGAGAACGCUGCAGAAAUGUAGAACUCUUUGGACAUUCGUAAACAGGUGGUGCAUGGUUGUCGUCAGCUCGUGUCGUGAGAUGUUGGGUUAAGUCCCGCAACGAGCGCAACCCUCGUUCUAUGUUGCCAGCACGUAAUGGUGGGAACUCAUGGGAUACUGCCGGGGUCAACUCGGAGGAAGGUGGGGAUGACGUCAAAUCAUCAUGCCCCUUAUGUCUUGGGCUUCACGCAUGCUACAAUGGCCGGUACAAAGGGCUGCAAUACCGUAAGGUGGAGCGAAUCCCAAAAAGCCGGUCCCAGUUCGGAUUGAGGUCUGCAACUCGACCUCAUGAAGUCGGAGUCGCUAGUAACCGCAGAUCAGCAACGCUGCGGUGAAUACGU
rnacentral:rRNA from 1 species